CGACGAUGAUCAGGAGCUUGCUCCUGUGAUUAGUGGCGAACGGGUGAGUAACACGUGAGUAACCUGCCCCUGACUCUGGGAUAAGCGUUGGAAACGACGUCUAAUACUGGAUAUGAUCACUGGUCGCAUGGCCUGGUGGUGGAAAGAUUUUUUGGUUGGGGAUGGACUCGCGGCCUAUCAGCUUGUUGGUGAGGUAAUGGCUCACCAAGGCGACGACGGGUAGCCGGCCUGAGAGGGUGACCGGCCACACUGGGACUGAGACACGGCCCAGACUCCUACGGGAGGCAGCAGUGGGGAAUAUUGCACAAUGGGCGAAAGCCUGAUGCAGCAACGCCGCGUGAGGGAUGACGGCCUUCGGGUUGUAAACCUCUUUUAGUAGGGAAGAAGGGAGCUUCGGUUCUUGACGGUACCUGCAGAAAAAGCACCGGCUAACUACGUGCCAGCAGCCGCGGUAAUACGUAGGGUGCAAGCGUUGUCCGGAAUUAUUGGGCGUAAAGAGC
rnacentral:rRNA from 1 species